rnacentral:sRNA from 1 species
GCGUUCCCACCGGCCCCAGCUCCAGCCCCGCAGCCUACCGUGCAAACAUGCUUAGACAGAGAAGAGAUUAACUUCAGUGGCUUCCCACUAAUUACAGAGAUUAAGAAGUGGCUGCCUGAACUAUUUUCCAAAGGAUACACAUUACAAAUUAUUGAAUAGGGCAGCUCACCAAGAAGAUCCUAUUGGUUUGGGGGGAACACAACUUCCAGCAGUCACAGGGGAUGCUGCUACUCAGGUGCCAACUGAAACAAGCUCCUCCACAGAAGCAGGCCUGAUGAAAUUAUAGAAGAGAGAAUUCAAACUAAAGCUUUUCAAGAGUAUAGCCCAGCUCACAUGGAUACCGUCUCUGUCGUGGCUGCUUUGAACUCAGACCUUUGUGUCUCUGGAGGGAAAGAUAAGACAGUUGUGGCCUAUAAUUGGAAAACUGGAAAUGUAGUGAAAAGGUUCAAAGGACAUGAACAUGAGAUCACCAAGGUAGCCUGCAUUCCCAAAUCCAGCCAGUUCUUCAGCUCCUCUCGUGACAGGAUGGUCAUGAUGUGGGACUUGCACGGUUCCUCACAACCAAGGCAGCAAUUGUGUGGCCAUGCCAUGGUGGUCACCGGAUUGGCUGUGAGUCCAGACUCAUCACAGCUGUGCACUGGCUCUCGGGACAACACCCUCCUUCUGUGGGAUGUGGUGACAGGACAGAGUGUGGAAAGAGCAUCUGUCUCCAGGAACGUGGUCACUCACCUGUGCUGGGUCCCCAGAGAACCAUACAUACUACAGACCUCUGAAGAUAAAACCCUCAGGUGGGCUUACUGAGCAGCUGUGAAAGUGUUUCUGGUGAGAUUAUGGGACAGUCGGGGGCUGCAGUUAGCUCAUAUGUUUCCUGCAAAGCAGCACAUUCAGACCUACUGUGAAGUCAGUGUGGAUGGACACAAGUGUGUCUCCUGCAGCAAUGGCUUUGGAGGAGAAGGCUGUGAAGCCACGUUGUGGGACCUAAGACAGACUCGAAACAGAAUAUGUGAGUAUAAGGGGCAUUUCCAGACUGUCGCAUCCUGCGUCUUUCUACCAAGAGCAUUGGCCUUGAUGCCUUUAAUUGCUACCUCAUCACAUGAUUGCAAGGUGAAGAUUUGGAACCAAGAUACUGGAGCCUGCCUUUUCACCUUGUCUCUGGAUGGAUCAGGACCCUUGACUUCUCUGGCUGUUGGUGACGCCAUCUCCUUAUUGUGUGCAAGUUUUAACAGAGGAAUUCACUUACUCAGAAUGGACCACAGCCAAGGGCUGGAACUGCAGGAAGUGGCAGCAUUCUGAGGCCAAGAGACACUCACUGGACAAUAUCAAACCAUGGCUCCUCCUCAGUGUGGCUUUGUGUCUUUCCCAGUUAUCUUGCGGGGAGUGGGAUGUAGGGCUGGUAUUCUUUGCUUAGGUUCAUUUACAAGAUGUAUCAGUGUUGUAAGUCCAAUAAUUUAAGUCCAGUGAUUCAAAAUCAGAUAUAGAGUCCAGAAACAUGGACUACACAUAAGGUUCUCUAUUUAAGUUAAAUACAAAUGCAACUUUUUAGUGAGCUUUUAGGACUACUCUUCAAAAAAAGUUUAUUGCUCAGAAUGAUGACCUGUAAAUGUAAGAGUGGCAGACCUCUGUCUGUGAAAGUCAGAACACAGGGCUCGAGCCUCUGGAACUGACCCUUUCCAAGUCUUUACAAAAGAAAAAAGGCAGUGGGGAGAGAGAGUGUUUUGGUUACAUCAGAAAUAAUUGAGAUGGGAAAGAAUAGUGCAGCCCCAUAGAAGAGACAGACUGUAGACAAUGAAAUUAAGCUUCAAUCACUGCUCCUCAGCAGUGUGAAGAAUCAAAGUCAGGGCAAGAAAGCGAAAGCUUGGACUUCUAUUUGAAGUGGCAGCAGAGUGGGAGGGCGGUACCCUUCUAGCCCAAUGCUGAUGAGCUUGUGUGAAAAUCAGACCUGAGAUGGCUUGAAGCAGCCAAGAACCACAUGGGCAUUGCCCAGAAUUAUAGGAGUUAGCACACCUGCUCUACAGAUAAAAAAACAUUGAUAAUUCAAAGAUUAAGGCCAAAAAUAUCUCACUUGCAAUUUUAAUAUUUUUAUUUGGAUUUAUAUAAAUGAAACAUAUAUAUGUUUUGGAAUGGCCAGAGUGAGGCAAAGGGGAUCCCUGAAAUAACAUUAGAACAUACAGGAAAAACGAGGCAGGCGGAUCACUUUAGGUCAGGAGUUCAAGACCAGCCUGUACAUGCAUGCCUAUAGUCCCAGCUACUUGGGAGGCUGAGGUGGGAGAAUCACUUGAACCUGGGAGGCAGAGUUUGCAGUGAGCUGAGAUUGUGCCACUGCACUCCAGUCUGUGUGACAGAAUGAGACCUUGUCAUGAAAAAAAAAAAA